GGUACUAUGGAUCUCGUGCCUCUAAACCUAUGGUGUCAAAUAAAACACCAUAGGGUAAAUGCGGCAGUACGGGAAUAUACUGAGUAUGAAGAUGAGGUAAGGCUAAAUGCAAGGGCUUAUGCAUGAACAAUUACUUAACUGAAUAAUCAUGAGAGUACUGAAUGAGAACACAUGCAUGAAUGCACAAAUAAUAAUUGAAAUCAUCUUGACUCAAAAUACUGCAA
rnacentral:lncRNA from 1 species